GCGCCUGUAGCUCAGUUGGAUCAGAGUGUCUGGCUACGAACCAGAAGGUCGGGGGUUCAAGUCCCUCCAGGCGUACCA
rnacentral:tRNA from 1 species